rnacentral:rRNA from 1 species
AGAGUUUGAUCAUGGCUCAGGAUGAACGCUAGCUACAGGCUUAACACAUGCAAGUCGAGGGGAAGACGACAUACGAAAGCUUGUCUUUUGAUGGGCGUCGACCGGCGCGACGGGUGAGUAACGCGUAUCCAACCUCGCCCACCACUUGGGGAUAACCUUGCGAAAGUAAGACUAAUACCCAAUGAUAUCUCUAGAAGACAUCUGAAAGAGAUUAAAGAUUUAUCGGUGAUGGAUGGGGAUGCGUCUGAUUAGCUUGUUGGCGGGGUAACGGCCCACCAAGGCGACGAUCAGUAGGGGUUCUGAGAGGAAGGUCCCCCACAUUGGAACUGAGACACGGUCCAAACUCCUACGGGAGGCAGCA